AGGCACUCAACACUGGGGUGCUGAGGACACGGGGGUGCGCCCUCCAACAAGGGCUGUGCUGGGACAGGCCCAGCUGUGAGGCCGCAGUUGACCUCCCAGAGGGACACGGGUCUGCUGCUCCAGAGACGCGGCCCUGCCAGGAGGGCUCCGUGAGUGCACACUCUCCUCUGGGCUUCCCGGGUGCGGGGCCUCCCCUGGCACAGCACAGCCCCUCACAGCACAGGCCUCACUGGGCUCUAGCUCUGUAUCUGUGCUCCUGGCAGGCCAGCACCCCAUCGCAAUGUCCUGUGCCUCUCAGGGCCCAGGGUGACCCCUCCCCAGCACAGCUGCCGUGCAGGACUCCUGCCAGUCCCAUUCACGCUGGCCUGCCCCCAGCCUGUCCCCGCAGGACUCCUGCCAGUCCCAUUCACGCUGGCCUGCCCCCAGCCUGUCCCCGCAGGACUCCUGCCAGUCCCUUUCACGCUGGCCUGCCCCCAGCCUGUCCCCGCAGGACUCCUGCCAGUCCCUUUCACGCUGGCCUGCCCCCAGCCUGCCAUUUCAGAGGCAGCCUUGGUAACCAAUGCUCAAAUGACCACUGCCCAGGCCAGAAUCUCAGAGGAGGCCACAGGUGCCCGCCCGGACAGGCUGUUCUCAACACUCUCUACUGCAAACUACACACAGUUUUACGUCGCCAGAAAGACCCCAAAUUUCUAUUCAAAAAGACCGUACCAGUUUCAGUUCCCGCCAACCUCAAAGGCAGAGACAAAAGGACGGUGUGCCCCUCCUGUAACUUCAUUUCUUCGGUGACUGUGAAGCUGAGGGCAGAGUCCACGCCUGGGGACAGGGCUGCCACCGCAGCGGCCACUGCGUCCAACCCUCGCUCCUCCUCCCAGAGACGACCUGCGUUCCGCUCAGGGACAGGGCUGCCAACGCAGCGGCCACCGCACCCAACGCUCGCUCCUCCUCCCAGAGACAACCUGAGCUCUGCUCAGAAGCGGCACCUCCUCAUGCUGGACUCACUCGGGCCCACAUGUGCCAAGGGGGCCUGGUUUUGGGGCCGGCGGGUUCUGCCUGAUGCUCAGAGGGUAACUGGAUGCUGAAAACUGUGAGUCUUUCUUCAACUCAGGGGAAUGUUUCCAGGGCACGCCAGGCCUCACUCACGCAGGCCUCCGCGACAACUGUUCAGCACUGACUGAGGGUGAAGUGAAAUCCUGAAAGCUGAGAGCCAGCGCCCUCACACGAGGGCUGGGACGUAACAAAAGCCCAUCAAGAGUUUUGCCCAGGGCUUUCUUGGGCCUUGAAGCAUGACGAGACCAGGACCCGUUUAGGAUUAAACAAGUUUUACUGGGGGUCUGAAAAAACUCCCCAGGCCUCCACAAACAAGUGGAGAAGGAACUCCCCAAACCUCCAUGAUUUAGCAGAAGACAAGAUAAGGGUAAACACCUGGGCCCAUUUAGAUCAAGUAAAUUUACUGAGUCUUCAGAGGAAGAUCUUCAGGACCAGACCUCAGUUAGAGAUGAGAAGAAUUGAAUCACGUACGUCUUUAGACGAAUGCACACUGACACGGAGACACAGAGCUUAGAAGGUGUGUAAGCUCUGGAAAAACUGUAAUCUGGAGUUGGUCUGGCGAUCAUUUCCAGGCCUUCUCCCUGUAACCAGUUACAGAAAUAAAAUCCCUCUUCUUCCCCAGUUCAUCUGCAUCUCGCUAUCGGGCCUCGGGAAUGAGCAACCCGACCCUGGGUUUGGUCCGGGAACGUUUUGUUCUCUGCGUGAACUGCUUUCUCAUCUGUGGUCUUUUCUGUCUUCUGGGACUCCUGUUGUUGGCACGUGGGCUCCUCCCGGGCCACUUUCCCUUUACCUGGCAGGAUCCUCUCCUGUGCCUUUCCUGGGCUGAGGGGGGAGGGAGGGAGGGAGGGAGGGUGGCCUGCCGAGGUCCCUGGGCUAAGAGGGGAGAGUGGCCUGCAGAGGUCCCUGGGCUGAGGGGGGAGGGAGGGAGGGUGGCCUGCAGAGGUCCCUGGGCUGAGGGGGGAGGGAGGGAGGGUGGCCUGCAGA
rnacentral:lncRNA from 1 species